rnacentral:sRNA from 1 species
AAACGGGGAGCAUCCGCGCGUGUACCUGCGUCAUAUCAGUAAGCUAGAGGAAGCCGUAGGUGAACCUGCUGCAUAUCUAUAAGCGGACGAAUGGGUAUGUGACCCUGCGUCAUAUCCCUGAGAAGACGGAAGUCGGACUCUGAGCCUAGCAUUAUAUCUCAUGAGUGAGAAGAUGCAUUAUGUAAACCUUUCUACAACCGAUCACUUGAUUAAGGCAUCCGUGAACAACCCAGCGAAAUGCGAUACGUAGUGUGAAUUGCUAAUUCAGUGAAUCAUCGAGUCUUUGAACGCACAUUGCGCCCCCUGGUAUUCCGGGGGGCAUGCCUGUCCGAGCGUCAUUGCUGCCCUCAAGCCCGGCUUGUGUGUUGGGCCCCGUCCCCCGAUCUCCGGGGGACGGGCCCGAAAGGCAGCGGCGGCACCGCGUCCGGUCCUCGAGCGUAUGGGGCUUUGUCACCCGCUCUGUAGGCCCGGCCGGCGCUUGCCGAUCAACCCAAAUUUUUAUCCAGGUUGACCUCGGAUCAGGUAGGGAUCCCGCUGAACUUAGCAUAUCAUAAGCGGAGGAAGAC